AAGAGAAAGAAAUAAGAAGAAAAAGAAAGGCGGUCACCAGCCUCUGAAUGAGACCGAUUUAUACCGAUUCCCUCGAGCAAACCCUAAUUUUCUUUGAUGAUUUUGUAGAGGGACGUGAGGAAGAGAAUUUUGAGGGUUACCGGAGUGAUUGAAGCUGUGGAGGUUGAGUAAUUUGAAUGAAAAGUCGGGUUAAAUCUGAAUUUCGGACAGUCUGAACAGGCUUCAGUGUUUUGAAGUUCUUGAGCUGUAGAAACCAAAUUUGAAGCUGAAAUUUUGAGGAAAACCGAGACUACACAGAAUUUCAGGCGAACAGAGAAACGUGACUUUUGGAGCUGAUUCGGUGUUAUUCAAGCGUUUCCAAAGCUUCAAAUUCUCAGGGGCACCAAGAAAUAUUUGACCGAUUCCAGAACAUUUAGGGCGAUUCAAGAUUCCAAAAUGUGAGGCCAAGUUCAAUUAGGAGAGGCUUAUAAAUUCAAAGGAUCGAGCCUGAAAUUGUAGUGGUCAUCUCCCUAUAGGUUAGCUGUCAUGCUGCUCUGUCACUCAAGGACUCCAGUUAAAAGUCCAAAGUCUAAAAAGAAGUUUUAGGUAUCUAUUCUGUAAAUGUCUGUACAUAUGUGUUGCUCAUAUUAGGGACUAAUAAAGUAUAUUGGGACCCGCUGAACUCUGUAUGUGUUAAUAUGAUGUAGUUAUGUUGUUGUUGAUCCCUGGUGUUUUGAGGUUGUUUUUAAAGUUUCAUUAGUUUAGUGAAUGUUAUAUAUGUAUUCCAGGGAUCUAAGUAGGUUAAGGAUGUAAGUUAGAAAGUAAGUGCCACAAAAAGGUUGGUAACUACUGUUGUUACAUUCACUUCUGGAUUAAGAAGGGUAAUCUGGGAAGGGGUGUGACACUUCCUUGCUGAUUGCGUUUGUUUCUCUGCCUUCUGCAAAAGGUUAUUUCAAUCUCUGGGUCGUACUUGAGCUCAUAAGUAUUUCCUUCCUCAUACGACGCUUGCUUCUUCCUUCACAAGUGGAAUGGCAAUACUCCAAAGGUCGAAAGCUACAAAGAUCAAAGAGGUUUGAUGUUAGCGCAAUCUAUAUUGUAAUCCCCAGCAACGACGCAAAAAACUUGAUGCGCUGAUUUAUCAUGCGAUGAAAGGGUGUGUGGAUGCGAUGAUUAUGCAAGUUUUCCUAACAAAGCCCAUGUAUAAGCCUCUUAGAGUCCUGGUAAGUCCAGGGUCGAACGUAGGGAUUACUCAAACAGAUAUGCGAUAGACUCUACCUCUGAUCUUGUCGCUAUUUUAAGUUUAAGAAGUUGAAUGGUGAUUGACUUUGAUUUCUUAA